AGGCUUAUAGCUCAGUGGACAGAGCAACAGAUUCCGGUUCUGUGUGUCGAGGGUUCGAAUCCCUCUUAGCCUA
rnacentral:tRNA from 1 species